rnacentral:lncRNA from 1 species
CACAUGAUUUCAGGGAAAUUCCAGAAAUACCUUUUAGUCAUUAGAAUAAUGCUCAUAUUGCCCUGUCCUUCUAGCCACCAAUCCAAUCCCUCAAUCAAUUCCCAAAACGAGCCGCCUCCACGAGUCUUCUGCCUCGGGACACGUGGAGGCUUAUCCCGGGUCUAGCACAUUUAUUUCUGACUUUUCCAUCUUCAUUCUAUUAGGUUAUGCGAACCCUAAUUUGCACAUUUAAUGAGGUCGUGGAACCCUAAUUGUGCAUUUAAUUCAAUUAGGUCAUGUGAACCCUAAUUUUGCACUUGGGCCCACAAGGUGAUUACCUAUGGACAAGUUUCUAUCAAAAUUACGGAAGGAAGGUACACGAGCUACCGAAUUAAAGACCUUGUCCAGCACUAUCUCCUCACAAUUGCCUAACCGGUCCAUCUUAAAAAUAACCUGCCCA